rnacentral:lncRNA from 10 species
AUAACAGAAUGACACAGACUGAGUAAUUUAUAAAGAAAAGAAGUUUAUUUGGCUCAUGGUUCUGAAGGCUGCGAAGUUCAAGGUCCUGGUGGCAUUUUCUGAUGAGGACUUUUGUACCGCAUCAAAACAUGAGGGUAAAAAAUGGCCAAUUGGUGAAAAAAAUAAAAGAAGAAUGGCUAGAACUUCUCCCAAAGAGGGUUUUACCAUCACAAGAUGAAGCAAGAAGGGAUUGUGUAGAGGCUGAAUUUUGUGUUUUGUUUUGUUCAUU